rnacentral:rRNA from 1 species
AUGCGUAUGGAACUCAUGGCUAAAAAAGAAAAAAGAGCCUCUAGAGGUAAACAAACAUCACACCAACCUACAAAUGAAGAAUCAUCCACAUCGACAUCACACACACAAAAUCUGGUCUUUGCACAUAACCGAACUAUAUUUCAACCCUUAAACCUUGGAGGUCCCCAUCAUUCUUGCAAACACUGUGGUGCUCUGUUUUGGUAUGAUGAGCGACUACGCAGAGAAAGACAUACUCCAGAUCCAACAUAUAAUUUGUGUUGCAAGGGAGGAAAAGUUUACCUGCGGCCAUAUGAUCCUCCUCCUCAACCCCUCUUGGAUUUACUGACAUCCCAGGACAGAACACUCUCCAGUCACUUCUUUAAACAUAUUAGGCAGUACAAUACAAUGUUUGCAAUGACUUCAAUGGGAGCUAAAAUUAAUGAAACCAUAAAUGAUGGAUGA